rnacentral:rRNA from 1 species
GACGAACGCUGGCGGCGUGCUUAACACAUGCAAGUCUACGAGAAUAAGGUAGCAAUAUCUUUAGUAAAGUGGCGCACGGGUGAGUAACACGUAAGUAAUCUACCCUUAGAUUUGGAAUAACUUCGAGAAAUCGGGGCUAAUACCGAAUGAUGCAGCGGCACCGCAUGGUGAUGUUGUUAAAGUCUAUAUGACGUCUAUGGAUGAGCUUGCGUCUGAUUAGCUAGUUGGUGAGGUAACGGCCCACCAAGGCUUCGAUCAGUAGCUGGUCUGAGAGGAUGAUCAGCCACACUGGAACUGAGAUACGGUCCAGACUCCUACGGGAGGCUG